UACAGAGGUCUCGAGCGUUGUUCGGAUUCAUUGGGCGUAAAGGGUGCGUAGGUGGCGCUGUAAGUCGGGUGUGAAAUCCUGAGGCUUAACCUCGGAACUGCAUUCGAUACUGCGGCGCUUGAGGACUGGAGAGGAGACUGGAAUUCAUGGUGUAGCAGUGAAAUGCGUAGAGAUCAUGAGGAAGACCAGUGGCGAAGGCGGGUCUCUGGACAGAUCCUGACACUGAGGCACGAAGGCCAGGGGAGCAAACGGG
rnacentral:rRNA from 1 species